GUUGAUAUUAGAUCUUUCCUGCUUUCUUCUUUGGGCAGUUAGUGCUAUAAAUUUCCCUCUAAACACUGUCGUAACUGUGUCCCAGAGAUUCUGGUACAUUGGGUCUUUGUUCUCAUUGGCUCAAAGAACUAAUUUAUUUCUGCCAUAAUUUUCCUAUUUACCCAGGUGCCGGUCAAGACCAGAGAGUAAAAGAAACCUUCAACAGGCUGGGCAUGGUGGUUCAGACCUGUAAUCCUAGCACUUUGAGAAGUUGAGCCAAGAAGAUCACUUGAGCUCAGGAGUUUAAGACCAGCCUAUGUCACAUGAAUCACUGGGAGGAGGAUUCUCAAGUAAUAAACCAUGGCCAUGGCAGUUUGACGACAUUGGAAACUUGCAUGGAAGAACAUCUUUCAUUCAACCAAAUGUAAGUACUUCACAUCCGUGUCCCCAGACUCUGUGCACGAGCCUUCCUCUUCAGCUGUCUUCACAUACUGGAGAUCCGUGAUGCUCGUUUCAUGACUAAGAGGUAAGGUCCUGAUCUCAUCUGAUGAGUGCAUCAUGU